rnacentral:lncRNA from 1 species
AAGCACUGCCGGAGCUGGAGCCCUGCUACCCUGAUCUCAUGCCCUCUGGUCUCGCUGGGAUCAGGCUGCCCCACCCUCAGAGCUCACCCUCUGCUUUGGCCCAACCAGAAAGAAGAGCCGCGGCAUGUCUAAGCUGAAAGGCCUCCCAAACCCCUGAAUCCCACCGUUUCCCAAAUGAGCAUAAUGAGGCCAAGAGAGGGCAAGGCACUUAUCCAAGGCCACAAGCAAGCUGGGGACCAGGACCACAUCAGCUGCCCCAUGGUAGCGCCCGAAGGAACCCUCUCACGGGAGAGCAGGACGCAGCCAGGUCUCAGGGGACAGCAAUGUGCAAGAGCUUGCUUGAGCCAGCUUAAGAGAGCCAACUGCUUGAGUUUCAAGAAUUUGAUGAGCUGGUUGAUACCACAUCGAUAGCCUGAAGUCAGCCAUGAUCCUCAGAAGACAAGGGUGAGAGAGAUGCGUUUCCAAGUGGGACGUGAAGACGCCUGGCAGGAGACAUCCCCGCAGGAGGAGCAGUGGGAACGAGUUUCCUUCUUUAGGACUCUGUGCUUCCCUUGCCCUACAACAGACCCUAUGUUCAGUCCAGCCUCUUGGUGGCAGACAAGGAAGCAGAGGCCCGGAGAUGUCAAGGGACUUGGCCCAGGUCACAGAGGCAGCCAUAGCAGGGCCGUCCUUGGACCUCCGUUUCCCAACUUGAAGCCCAACCCAGAGCCUCCUCUCCUUGGGCAGAUCUUAGACCCAGAUGAAGAAGUGAGGGAAGCUGUCCUGUUCGUCCUCUCUGGACCCGACAAACAUUCCUACAAGGGGUAACUUU